rnacentral:rRNA from 1 species
AGGGAAUAUUGCGCAAUGGAGGAAACUCUGACGCAGCGACGCCGCGUGAGCGAUGAAGGUUUUCGGAUCGUAAAGCUCUGUCCUUGGGGAAGAAGGUCUUCGGACUUGACGGUACCCAAGAAGAAAGCCCCGGCUAACUACGUGCCAGCAGCCGCGGUAAUACGUAGGGGGCAAGCGUUGUCCGGAAUUAUUGGGCGUAAAGGGUGCGUAGGCGGCCUUUUAAGUCAGAUGUGAAAGCCCGCGGCUUAACUGCGGGACUGCAUUUGAAACUGGGAGGCUUGAGUAUCGGAGAGGGUAGUGGAAUUCCCAGUGUAGCGGUGAAAUGCGUAGAUAUUGGGAGGAACACCAGUGGCGAAGGCGACUGCCUGGACGAAAACUGACGCUGAGGCACGAAAGCUAGGGGAGCAAAC